GAGGGUUGAUCGGCCACAUUGGGACUGAGACACGGCCCAAACUCCUACGGGAGGCAGCAG
rnacentral:rRNA from 1 species